rnacentral:tRNA from 1 species
CAAAGUAUAGCUUAAUUAAAGCAUCUCGCUUACACCGAAAAAAUAUUUGUUAAACUCAGAUUACUUCGA